rnacentral:tRNA from 1 species
UUUUAUUUAGUUUAAACAAAACAAUAGUUUGUGGAACUAUUAAUUCUCAUAUUAUAUU